rnacentral:rRNA from 1 species
GACGAACGCUGGCGGCGUGCUUAACACAUGCAAGUCGAACGAUGAAGCUGUGCUUGCACAGUGGAUUAGUGGCGAACGGGUGAGUAACACGUGAGUAACCUGCCCUCCACUUUGGGAUAACUCCGAGAAAUCGGGGCUAAUACUGGAUAUGACUAUGGCCCGCAUGGGUUGUGGUGGAAAGUUUUUCGGUGGGGGAUGGGCUCGCGGCCUAUCAGUUUGUUGGUGAGGUAGUGGCUCACCAAGGCGAUGACGGGUAGCCGGCCUGAGAGGGCGACCGGCCACACUGGGACUGAGAUACGGCCCAGACUCCUACGGGAGGCAGCAGUGGGGAAUAUUGCACAAUGGGCGGAAGCCUGAUGCAGCAACGCCGCGCGCGGGAUGACGGCCUUCGGGUUGUAAACCGCUUUCGCCUGUGACGAAGCGUGAGUGACGGUAAUGGGUAAAGAAGCACCGGCUAACUACGUGCCAGCAGCCGCGGUGAUACGUAGGGUGCGAGCGUUGUCCGGAUUUAUUGGGCGUAAAGGGCUCGUAGGUGGUUGAUCGCGUCGGAAGUGUAAUCUUGGGGCUUAACCCUGAGCGUGCUUUCGAUACGGGUUGACUUGAGGAAGGUAGGGGAGAAUGGAAUUCCUGGUGGAGCGGUGGAAUGCGCAGAUAUCAGGAGGAACACCAGUGGCGAAGGCGGUUCUCUGGGCCUUUCCUGACGCUGAGGAGCGAAAGCGUGGGGAGCGAACAGGCUUAGAUACCCUGGUAGUCCACGCUGUAAACGGUGGGUACUAGGUGUGGGGUCCAUUCCACGGGUUCCGUGCCGUAGCUAACGCUUUAAGUACCCCGCCUGGGGAGUACGGCCGCAAGGCUAAAACUCAAAGGAAUUGACGGGGCCCCGCACAAGCGGCGGAGCAUGCGGAUUAAUUCGAUGCAACGCGUAGAACCUUACCUGGGUUUGACAUGGAUCGGGAGUGCUCAGAGAUGGGUGUGCCUCUUUUGGGGUCGGUUCACAGGUGGUGCAUGGCUGUCGUCAGCUCGUGUCGUGAGAUGUUGGGUUAAGUCCCGCAACGAGCGCAACCCUUGUUCACUGUUGCCAGCACGUUAUGGUGGGGACUCAGUGGAGACCGCCGGGGUCAACUCGGAGGAAGGUGGGGAUGACGUCAAGUCAUCAUGCCCCUUAUGUCCAGGGCUUCACGCAUGCUACAAUGGCUGGUACAGAGAGUGGCGAGCCUGUGAGGGUGAGCGAAUCUCGGAAAGCCGGCCUCAGUUCGGAUUGGGGUCUGCAACUCGACCUCAUGAAGUCGGAGUCGCUAGUAAUCGCAGAUCAGCAACGCUGCGGUGAAUACGAUCCCGGGGCU